CACACACAGCAUGUGUUCAGAGAAAGUAGUCUAUUAUGUGUCUAUGUAGCAUUUCCCACAAACAGCAUUGUUUCAGAGAAAGUAGUCUAUUAUGUGUCUGUGUAGCAUUUUACCAAACAGCAUGUGUUCAGAGAAAAUAGUCUAUUAUGUGUCUGUGUAGCAUUUUACCACAAACAGCAUGUGUUCAGAGAAAGUAGUCUAUUAUGUGUUUGUGCAAGCUCAAGUUUGGAAGCAAAAUAAACCAGUAAUAACUAAUUAUUUAUACCUAUUGUACACUCAGUAGUAAAUACAGUCAAUGUUAAGUCUAACUCAGUCAAUCGCAAUCCCCCUGUAUUAGCCAUCCCUGAUGAUAUUGAUAUCAGUCACAGUUGCAAAGGCUUUCAUGUAUUUCGUCAUGGAACACGAAUAUGAGUCUUCUUGAGGUAUAUUAUAAAGUGUAUAGGAUAUGGCUGUUUGGUUAU
rnacentral:lncRNA from 1 species